AAAAUUGCGUCUAUCAUGGCGGAUGAUGAACACGAUGUCGACAAGUAAGUGCAAUUUAUUACCAUUUCAAUCAAUGUAAAGAGCACAGAAAUCAUAAAACAGGGAUUUUGAAUUAAAUAUACGUUCAUCGUAAUAUUGAAGUUGUUUUGUAGAGAAGUUUUACUCGAAAUUACUUAUAAAAGCACCUAUUUGUUUAUUGGACUGUUGAAAUUGAAAAUCAAGUAAAUUUUAGGCUUUGUGACAACUUUUUAAAAAAAGAAAGGUCUUAUACAUUUUUGAAAAAAAAUCAACAUCGUUGACAGUAGUUUAGUAUUCCCGCAAUCACUGGCAUAUUCCAUGACAAUACAAUUUUUUUUUCUCAUUACAAAAGUUUGAGAUGAUUUUUCAAUGAAUCUGAUACAUAACAAUAACAUUAAUUUAAAUAGGGUGCUUUGUAUGGGUGUGAUUUUAAAAAUUUUAGAUCUAUAUUUGUACAUUAUUCUAGAAUCCUGUGUUGAAAUUGGUAGAAUAAUUUAUGAACAGUGUAUUUUUGCUAUCAUGUCAACAAAUUUUAAUUCUUUAUAACAUUAAAUUUUUUUCAUUUCUCUCUGUUUCAGCUUUGAUGAUGAUAUUGAUGAUGAUGACGAACCUCUUGAUGAAGCAGUGGAAACUCAAGAUGUCAGUUGAUAUUCUUUAUUACUUAAAUAUUACACAAUACAUGUGUAUUAAUAAUGUUUCAUGGAAAAUUUUGUUCAUCUCUAAGAAUAAUCCAUGUUAUUUAAAAACCUUUUGAUGUGAGUACUAUGCUCUGUCCCAAGUUUCUGCUUCUGCCUUUUUUUUUCUUAAUAUUUCAAUAGUCAUCAUUCAUCAAUACCUUUGUGCAAAAUUGUGCCCAAACUACUUUUAUCCACAAGAAUAAAAAAAAAGGUUCAGAUUAUCUGUUUUGAGAGACCCCCUUUACCACUUCAUAUUUCAAUACACAACCAAAAAUAGAAAGUCUGCGUGGAUUUUGCAUUGCAGCAGACAUGGAAAGUACCCGGAUUAUAAUGUUAUAAAAUUGUGUGAGGUGUCCAGAGUAAUUCUGAAUGGAGAAAAGAUGUAAACAUUUCUCAUUAUAAAUCUCUGUAAGCAGUUUGUUUUUGUUCUUAUUAAUUUUUCUGGGCAAAAAUAGAUGAAGUCUCAAUAAAGAAAUCUUGGAUUGUUCCCCUUACAUUGAUUUCAAUUGUAUUUGUUUGAAAAGUAUGUGUAUUUUUAUUAAAAUUCAUCAAAAGGUGAGGGAAGCAGUAACCUGGGACAGACUAUAGAAAAUGAUACCCAUUUCAUAAUGUUAAACAUCUGCAGCUCUUUGUUGGUACCAGGUAGUUCUUAUACGGUUUGGAUUAGGAACAAUAUAGUAGUACGUGUAUAUAUUCUUUAUUCAUGCACUAUUUUUACAGGAUGGUGACCCAAUAGACAUCCUCCCAGCUGAUCAAGCAACUCAAGCUGUUGAGCCCCAAAAACGAAUCACAACCCCAUACAUGACCAAAUAUGAGCGUGCAAGAGUCUUAGGAACAAGGGCACUGCAGAUUGCGUAGGUUUCCUCAAUAUAUAAUUACUCCCACCUGAUGAAAACUUCUGCAAACCAUAUUAUAUCAUUUUAUUCAUCUCAAAACUUUGUGUUAUCCAAGGUUUUCGGUUACCAGUUAAAAUUAAAAAAAGAAACAGUGGUUGGGGCUUCAAUCUCUUUUUGUUAUAUCCAUGGUAAUGUAUUCAAGAGAAUGAUGUUCAAGAUACCUAAUCUCAAUUUUACAGCAUUUUCGUUGACUUUCCUUCCAAUUUGAAUUACCUCUUUUCCCCUCAUUAUUUGAAUUAUUUCAUCAUUCAGUAUCACUUCCAUUUAGUACAAUCAUUACUCUUUGUAUAUAUGUUUAAAAUUUUUCAAACGAUGUUAAUUUUGCCCCAUAGUAUGUGUGCACCUGUAAUGGUGGAAUUAGAAGGAGAGACUGACCCACUACUGAUUGCCAUGAAAGAACUCAAAGCCAGGAAAAUCCCCAUUAUUAUUCGCCGAUUUCUCCCUGAUGGAAGUUUUGAGGACUGGGGAAUAGAUGAACUCUUGAUGACAGAGUGAAUGGACAUGUCACAUUGUUUCAAAGUUUCUGUCAUUAUCUUUUUAUUGUAAUUCAUGUGUGGAGUCUGUGCUUUGGAGAGAGUGGUUGUAUGAAAGUUGCUAUUUUUAUCAUUUCAUUAAAAAAUCACAAAGU
rnacentral:misc_RNA from 1 species